ACAUCCUGCUCUUCUGCCUCAGAUUCAAUGUCGGCGAGAGCCAUAGCAGCAGCUAGAUCUCGUGGAGGCGGCGCUGCUCCGAGUAGUAAUGGCAACGAACGACCAUUAUCCGCUUAUGAAGAAUCUGAUGAAGCGGUACGACAACGAAAGAAUCGUAGAGCAAGUGUUGCAGUAAUGCCAAUGAUGGAAUUAGAAUAUAGAGAUCAAGUUGUGGCGGGAAGUAUUAAAUCAGCCACUAUGAAUCGACGAAAAAGCGAUGGAAAUCCUGCUGGGAGAGCGUGAGUUUUCUAGAUUUCAGAAAUCUUAAAUAAAUUUUAAAAAAUGUACUUUAAUGAGAAUAUUUCUGAAGAAAGCUAUUUCAUUAAAUUUCGUUUUAUAAAAUAAAUUAAAAACUAUCAUUUCGACCAAUUUUUGAAAAAAAAUCGAAAACACAUGAAAAAAACAAUACAUUUUUUAAAACUAUCUAACUAUCUUCCGAAAAAUCGAAAGUUUUCGUUUCUUUUUUUGUAAAUUUCUCUGAGAAAAUUAAAAAAAUUUCGAUGAAACAUUCAGAAUGAUUUACAAAAAUAUUUUCGAACUUAAUCAUUUUAUUUAUUUCGAAAAUAGUUUUUUUUUAUUAAUCUGAUUUUAAAAAGACAAUUUUGUACUCCGGCUGUGCAUUUUUACGUGGCGGUGUUUGCACUGUUUCGUCUACCGUAGUCCGUUUCAGCGAAAAUGUUUUUUUUUUGAUUGAGCUUCAAUUUUCUUUUCGAUUAAUCGUUUUUUUCUUGAAUUUUCGGCAAUUUAAAGGAACAUUUUCUCAUAAAAAACAACAUCAUGUUUUUUAUAAGUUAUAUUUUAAAUAUUUCGAAAUAUUUUUUCGAAGAAUUUUGGAUUUUCGAAAUGUCUAAAAGUUUCAAUUUAAAUUUUUUUUUUCACUAAAAAAUCGAAAAAAUCCCAAUGUUAGCGACGAAAUCGUCGUUCCAAAUUGAUUUUUCCUUGUUUUCCCCCCAUACUUUUCACGAUUUUUCGUAUAAAUGAAUCACAGUCACAUUCCACUUUUUCUCAUGAAAGGAGGUAAUGUGCCUGUGAUUCAUUAUAAAAAAUUCCGCUCCUCAUGAGAAAAUGUUACUAAACUCCACAACUUUUCAGGUUCAGUCCCGACUUUGGAGCAAUUCGAGUACAAGUUGAGGAUAUCACAUCGGUUCCCGGUUCAAUGAUGACGGAGGACGAUGAUGAUGUUGACGAUGAGAAGCAUGGAUUGAAUGGAGGACGAUCUUUCGG
rnacentral:sRNA from 1 species